rnacentral:lncRNA from 1 species
UUUGCCCUUUCAUUUUUAUAAACACCCUUCUCUCUCUGUUAAAAAAUUUCUCAAAUGCCUCUUCAAUAGAGUAGAAUAAAACUUCAAUUGUGGUGUAUUUCUGAUCAUUUGUGAUUUCUUCUCCGGUCAUCAAGCUUUUUUAGUGGUCUUCUCCAACUAUUUCAAACAGACAAAACCAAAAGGUUAGGGAAUUCAAGCUUUACUUUUCGAUUAGGGUUUUGUAAUAUAUAACAGAGAUGAAUAUCGAUUUGCUUUCUAUCUUCUAUUUUGUUGAGAUAAGGCUUUCAAAAUUGAAUUUUUAAGUGUAAAAUCAGUGAUUUUGUGCAUGCAUAUAGCGUAGGACUAUCUGUAAUAACUUACAAAAUUUAGGGGUUUUUUAUUUUUAUAUUUUAGAAUUGUCUGAAUGUAUGUUAUUCGGCUUAUUUUAGUUAUUUUGAAUGUAUUGCAAGAAUUCUUCUGCUAUUUUAGUUUAGCUCACUGUUGGUGGAUUAUUUUAUGUAAAAGUGAAUCUUUUUCUGUAUUUUAUUUGUAUCUAGCAUUUCUUUAAUAUGUUACAAUAUUGUACUAUUAAUUUUAAAAGUUAAAUAUUGAUGAAUUAUGUAUAUGGUUGUAGGUUGUCCCAUGGCUUCUAAGUACUUUAAUUUUAGAUGGACAAUUGGUGUAAUGUUGAUAAGUAAAGUAGGGCCGGUUUUUGUUGGAGUUAGAUUGAGUAUUCCUUCAAUAUUGAUUUUGAUCACUUAUCUAUCCCUGAAUUAGUAGAUAUUGCAAAGGAUUUUGGAGUUACUAAAUUGGGAACCACUUAUAUUGCACCUUCUAAGGGUGGCAAAUUGUUAAAACUAGAGAAAGAUAAGGAUUUGUUAGACCUUGGAGUAUUGUUGAAUGAUGGGGACACAAUAGAUAUAUUUAUCUGCAAUAACUCUAAUUUUGAGGAUGUGGGGCAUGUUGGCCAUAUUUGUUCUAUGAUUAAGUUAGUUUUUUUGGUGUAUGCUUAGUAUGUAAUCAGAUGAUUACAACUUUCUUUGUGGUAGUAUUUUGUGUAGCUUUUUUGGUGAAACAACUCUUUUGUGAUACUGGUAGUAUUUUGUGUAGCUGUCAGAUAUGUUUGGCAAACAGCUCUUUUGUAUACUGUCCAUAUUUUUGUUGCUAUCCAGUUUUGUAAACAGCGUGUAUCUAUCUUACAUAUCUUCCCAUUAUCUGCAGCAACAUGAAAUAGCAUUUUCAUAGUUCUAACAGUAAACUUUUGUGAGGUAUAGAGUAGUGACUAGUGCAUAUUACUCCUGUUACAGUUGGCGCAAUUGUUACCGGAAGAAUUCUUAAAGGAAGGUCUAUUUACUUCCUUUAACUAACAAAACUGAUACUAUAGACAAAUAUGGCAAAAUUGAAAGUCUAAGCAGGAUUGUGGAAGCUGCUGUAUUAUUUGCAUUAUUCCCAUCAGAGAAGUUAAAAUGAUAGAUUUGUGAUACAAGAUUUCUAUUCAUUCUACUAUUUAUCUAAUACAUAGAUACCAAUUAAAGUUAGAUUAAAUUGGACACCAACCAAAAUACAACAUCACAUUGCAUGCUACACUAAUAAAUAGACUAAUCUUCAAUGUUCUUCCCCACUUUAGUUCACGCUCUUGUUUAUUUCUCUUCUUCAACAAACUCAAAAUAACAAUAUUAGCUUGUUUUGGAAACUUCGGUUCAUACCACUCAAAAAAUUAAAAUUACAAGCCUUACAACCUUUAACCUGCACAAAAAGCAGAACUAUCAACUUUUUUAGUGAAAAAACCUAGAACAAACCCAACAUAAAUUUUAAUCAAUUUAAACCUUCUAAACAUUACUUUAUCAUACCUUAUAGUUUUUACAACCAAAAAAUCUUCUUCCCGGAUUGUCAUUUGACCAUGAAAUUUUCAAAUGUGAUGGAUACCUACAUUUACAAAGUGGGUUCAUCUUCAAUGUCUUGGAGAAAACUAGGAUGAAAACCUAGAAUAUCACUAAGAACUUUAACAAUUAAAGAAGAAAAUCAAGAAUAUUACAAAAAGAAAGAGCAAUAAUUAUACUUCAAUGGUGGAGCUUAUAAAGAGGAAGAAGUGAAAGAAUAGCCAUUGAUUAGGAGUUUUUUACCGUUAGGGCUGAUUAUGUGGCCAUUUUUAACCAGCCUCACGCGUCAUACACCAUUUGAGAUCACUUCUCGUGCCAUGUGGCAGCUCGGGGGUUUUUAAAAUUCACUUAUUCUAGUGUAGGAGGUAAUUCGAACCAGAGAUAAUUUGGAGAGGAAACUAAUAAUUCUCGACAAGUUUAAGGGGUACCAAGGCAUUUUGCCUUAAAAAAAAAGUUAUUUUUAUUUUGCAAGUGGAGACUUGCAAAAGAAAUAUUAGUACUAGUACAUUUUAAAGUCACAUGGCGUGGGUAAUUGCAAUAGUACUUUGCACCAAAACAAGAGGUUGUCUCAUGUGAUAAAAAGUGAAAAGAGUCUGAAAAGUUAAUGAUGAGUGCAUGGGAAGUGAGGCCAACCAUAAAACAACACUUAAAAACUUCCCUUUUUCCAAUUAAACUACAGAGUGUAUAAGAUCUAAAUUAAAAGCAAUAUUAGUGUAACCUUGAAGUUAGGGAAAAACCCUUUAUUAUCUACUCGCUACAGUAUUUAGUUAAAUUUCUGGCAUGGAGAAUAUACUCUUUCACGGUUUUCUUUACUUCUAUUGGCAUUUGCUGAAAACUAUGCAGUAAAGGCAUGUUUGCGUCUUGGUGAAGUCAAUGCUGUCUUUUGUGUUCCUCCAUUUCUUCAUACAACAUGGUAAAAGUCAUAUGCCAAAAAUAUAUUCUUUUAUUUUUUUUGUUUUAUAAAAAAUCAACAACAAAAGAAGAAGAAGAUGAUGUAGGAAUAAUAAAAGCAAACUAAACAAAUGCAAAUCAAUCCUAAAUACCCUUUCUGUUUCAGUUUAUGUUACAGUAUUUGAUUGAAUGCGGAGUUUGACGACAAAAAGAAAAGAAAAAGAAAAAAUUGUAGUCUUAACCAUAUCAUAAGAUUUCUAUGAUUAUAUAGAAAUAAAUCAAAAAGUUUAAAAUUAGAAUGUUUUCAAAUAUAAAAAAUAUGAAUUUUAUAGCAACGAACUAAUAAAGAGAUAAUGGCGCAUAAAAUAGAAGAAAGGAAGUAUUUCAUGUGGUUUUGCUGUCUUCUACAGCAUGUAGAGCUACAGAGUUAUGUACAGUGGCAAGUUCAAAAUAUAGAAUCAGUUUAUGAACUAAUAUACACUUUAUUUUGUUAUAUAACAUACAUAUUUCGAGUUGAAAAUAAUGAGUUCGGUUGAACCUAUAGAACUUAUCGUCCUAGAUCUGCCAUGACUGCAUCUGCUUGUACAGAUCCAGUUUUAGGGUUGCAAAGAUUGGCCAUUCAUGAACAUAUUAAUGAAAAGAAUGAAAAUGACAAAGAUAUAUAUAGGAGUACUAGAUUGAAUUAUAAUAGAAAUGAAGCAAAUGGGAUAUACUUGAGUAACAACAUAACAUAACAUCAAUUGUUGUCAAUACGGUUAAUAUAUAUAGAAUCAAAUUAAACAAAGUUAUAGAAACCUGAGAAUUUCUUUUUUUCCUUAAUCUCUAGGGUUGAGUACACAGUAAAGAUAUCUAUCAUAUGUAAGAAACUAAAUUAAAGACUCAUAAAAUGGAACUUUCUCUCCUAACUUUCUUGAUUUUGUUACCAAGAUCUGCUAAUAAAGCUGGAGGAAACAUUGAUUUUACUUCAUCAUAAACAUCAAGAAACACUCUUUGUUUUCUCUUUGUAAUUUGAAUUGACUUUGGCUUCUUUGGAGCUGGUGGACAAAUCAUUUGUUUAGUAUUACAUUUUGGUGAUGUUGGAAUUUUCAGUACUUCAUCUUCUUUAACUUUCAAACAAGAAUCCUUAACAUCUUCUUCUUCUUCUUCUUUCUUGUCAUCUUCUUGUCGUGUAUCUUGUUGUCUUUGAUCUUCUUGAUUUUGAGUCACUUUUUCGUCUACCGAAUGUGAAUUUUGACACCCAUUUUGAAAAUCUAAAAUGGGUCUUGACAAGAAACUGCAAUCGGUACUCGAGUUCGAGAGAAACAUGAGGGUAGAUGAAUUGAAUUGUGAGCACAUGAAUAUGUUUUUGAGUGUAAGUAUAGGUCAAUGAGGGAAUUGAGAGGGAGACGAAUAAAGAUAUGGAAACAGAAAAUAGAUGACAAGAAGAAGUAAGCUCAAAAAGAUAUUAUUGAGUGAUACUAGAGAGAGACUUUGGGAGAGAUGUCUAACUUAGAGAAAUAUAACACCUUAGAACAAUGCAGGUACAUAUAGAUAUAUAAUAUGAAAAGGAAGAAGGUGGGAGAGGGAAGCAAAAGAGAAUAUAAUGAUGGGAUUCAAUUUGUAUGGGUCGCAACUCAUAAUAUGAGCAAGCUCACACAAACAAAUAUAAUAGAUAAUUUGUCUUAUUUUUUAGAUUAUAAUUCUACCGUAAUUACAUUGAUAGUGUGAAGUGGAACCUUGAAGCAACGAUAAAGUUAUCUUCGUGUGAUUAGUAAGUUAUAGGUUCGAGCUGUGAAAACGUCCUUAAUGCUUGCUUUAGGGUAGGCUGUCUAUAUCAUACCCCUUAGAUUGCGACCCUUCGAAUCUUGUGUGAAUACUGAAUACUUUAUGCAUCGUGCUACCCUUUUGACAUUAUUAAAAAAUUUAAAAUGGAGAAAUAUCUAGUGAAUUCUUUUUAGUGGAGUUUGUUGGAACUUAGCUUUUCCAACAUUUUGGAUGUGUGUGUGUGUGAGAGAGAAAUGGUAGCAGUUGUUCCUUGCAUAAUAGUCUUACUUCGGCGAAGGAUCCAAUGCAAAUUUGCAUCUUCAUCUCUCUCUCCACAUCUUUAUCUUUUCUUGUUUUUCUUUUCAUUUUUAACUGCAAUACAACUAAGUAUUUUCUUUUUAUAAUAUUAUAGGGACGAUUAGUCAGACAUUAAGUAAUUAAUAAAAUCUCAAUUGCAUCACUUUUGUGAUUUUUUCGAACUUUGAUGCAUCUAAGCACGUGCUUGCCUCACGCUGAAGCCAUCUCAUGUCAACUUAAUUUCUUGGUAUUAUUAUUUAGAGCAAUUAUGAUUUAUGUAUCCUAAUAUUGUUUCAAAAGAAAAAUUCUAUUAGUAUAAUUUAAUCGGUUAUAACAUGUUACAACUUUAUUUUUCAGGCCACUAUAUGGAUCUUGCUGUUAUGAGUUAACUUAUAAAGAGCAGCCCAAUACACAAAGCAUUCAGCGUUUAUGCAGGGUUUGAAGAAGGACCGCAUCUUAAGGGGGUGUGAUAUAGGCAGUCUAUCCUAAUGCAAGUAUCAACGACUGAUUCCACAACUCGAACAUGUGACUUAUAGAUUAUAUGGAGACAAUUUACCGUUACUGCAAGACUCCCCUUCUAGUUAAUUUAACCUAGUGAUAUAAAAAAUUAUAUACUGUUAAUUAGUGCACAAAACUUGAACCGUAUUUAUUCUCUUUUGGACAAACAUGUCUCUUAUUUCCCCAACCUCUCACAGCAUGAUGUAAAUUAAACCGAA